CACUCUUCCUCUCUAGAGCACACAAAACAGGAAAGGAGAAGGCAAGAUAAAAAAAACAGCAAAACAAAAAACAAAAAAAACACACCCCAAAGUAAGAUUAAUCCUGUCAUCGACAGAAAAAACAUAAAUUCUCAUUACUAUAUUCUAUGUUGAAUUUUCUGAGGAAAACAAGCCUUACCAGCCCCUGCUUUGGGGGUUCAUUACUGCCGCAGACCAAGUCUGUGUGCAAAGCCUCUGGCCAUGGAGCCGGACAGUAGCAGUCAACAAAUUCUAGACAUGCCUGAGAGACAGGAGACGGCUUCAACCACUUCCUCUGAGCCACAGCUCCAAUCACCCCAAAGGUACACUCUUUGUAUAAAGAUGUAUUUACUCAGUGUAAACUGGUCCUCAUGAAAUGGCAUAUGUCUUUUUCACUUUAAUUGCAUUAAAUCUUUUGGCCAACUUCAGUCCUGAUCAUAACUA